GUUUUUCAAUUGAUGAUUUCAUAGUUCAACUGACGAACAUUGAUGUACACACGUAGCAAUGUCUUUCGCUCCUAUCUGAUAAAUUC